AAUUUGAAUCCCACCACGUGCCGCCUUGAAACUUUGUCAUUUGUCGAGUGGUUAAAGUUACCUAUAUGUCACCAUAAUACUCAGGUUCUAGGUGGAGGUGUAAUUGCUUUACACCAAAGAUUGCCUACACCGCUAAUGGGUGGAAGGUGGAGAGCGCUUCCUAUACUCUUGAAGGAGACCUACAGGCUCUAAAGGCCAUUAUAUGAAAGAAGAAAAUAAUAAUUCGAAAAUGCAAGUCCAAUCCAUCGGAUAAUCAGAAAAUCAGAAUUCACAAUCGGACCACCCGCCUCUGGAGACGACUCAUAACACCUGCUUUCGUGGAAUCUGUUCCAGCUACAGAUGACAUGAAAUUUCCUGUUUACUGUAGAAUACAAAUAAAGGACAGACAAAGGAUGUUCAGUAUAGCAGAAGAUAUUUCGAGGAUGUUCAUGUAGAAAGGUUUAGUGUAUUAAUCUCAAUUUGAUGCAUAUAUGCUCUUCCUAGGCUGAUUCUGGCGGUCCACUACUUUGCCAGGAAAAACACAACGAGACCUACGUGGCUGGCGUGGUGUCUUGGGCCGACCAGUGCGGUCUUCCAGAUAUUCCUGGUGUGUACACUGAGGUGAGUUACUUUGUUGACUGGAUCAAUGAGGUCAGGAAUCAGGAGUCGUUGCAACACUGACCCAUGCGACCCAUCACGGCAAGGAAGGAAAACACACAGACGACCCUGGAAUGCAAAACACCGCCACCCUCAAUGCCAAGAUCAGCAUCCUCCAUUGGCAAAGACACCAUGGAGGACCACUCCUCAAACUACUUCACAAAUCACAUCACAAUACACUCUUUCAACACGUGCCUGCAUGUGUCAGUCGCUUUUAAGUAUUGGAACCUUUAAUUGCUUGUACAGUGAAUGUCUCAGGCUUGGAGUCUUAGUGUUUCUUCUGAGACAUUUACAAAACUAAUACACUGACCACAAUCCUACGGUAUGAUAUAGACGUGAAAUCAAGUCACACCAUAACCA